GGUCAAGCUACAAAGGGCUCACGGCGGAUACCUUGGCACACAGAGGCGAUGAAGGACGUGGUUACCUGCGAUAAGUCUCGGGGAGCUGGA
rnacentral:rRNA from 1 species